rnacentral:rRNA from 1 species
CUACCAUGCAGUCGAACGAAGGCUUCGGCCUUAGUGGCGCACGGGUGCGUAACGCGUGGGAAUCUGCCCUUGGGUUCGGAAUAACAGUUAGAAAUGACUGCUAAUACCGGAUGAUGUCGUAAGACCAAAGAUUUAUCGCCCAAGGAUGAGCCCGCGUAGGAUUAGCUAGUUGGUGAGGUAAAGGCUCACCAAGGCGACGAUCCUUAGCUGGUCUGAGAGGAUGAUCAGCCACACUGGGACUGAGACACUGCCCAGACUCCUACGGGAGGCUGCAGUCGAGAAUCUUCCGCAAUGGGCGAAAGCCUGACGGAGCGAUGCCGCGUGAAGGAUGAAGGUCUUCGGAUUGUAAACUUCUGUCACUGGGGACGAAUAAAUGACGGUACCCGGAGAGGAAGUCACGGCUAACUACGUGCCAGCAGCCGCGGUAAUACGUAGGUGACUAGCGUUGUUCGGAUUUAUUGGGCGUAAAGGGUCCGCAGGGGGCCGAUUAAGUCUGAUGUGAAAUACCAAGGCUCAACCUUGGAACUGCAUUGGAAACUGAUUGGCUAGAGCAUCGGAGAGGAGAUUGGAAUUCCUGGUGUAGCGGUGGAAUGCAUAGAUAUCAGGAGGAACACCAAAGGCGAAGGCAGAUCUCUGGACGAUUGCUGACCCUCAGGGACGAAAGCAUGGGGAUCAAACAGGAUUAGAUACCCUGGUAGUCCAUGCUGUAAACGGUGUGAACUUGACGUGGGGUGGAUUUAACCCCUUCCGUGUCGAAGCUAACGCGAUAAGUUCACCGCCUGGGGACUACGGCCGCAAGGCUAAAACUCAAAGAAAUUGACGGGGGCCCGCACAAGCGGUGGAGCAUGUGGCUCAAUUCGACGCAACGCGCAGAACCUUACCAGCCCUUGACAUGUGACUCGCCGGCUCCAGAGACGGAGCCUUCGGUCCGGCCGGAGUCAGCACAGUGCUUGCAUGGCUGUCGUCAGCUCUGUCGUCAAAAAAAUUUUUUUUUAAAUCCCGCAACGAAGCGCAACCCUCGUCUC